AGUCGGAGCGUGACCGCAGCCGCGCACGAGCGCGCCGUGACGUCACCGAGUAGGUCCCGCCCCUGCCACGUGAGAUUGUUUGGGUCUCGCGAGGCUCCGCCCCUGAGGCCACUCAGCCAGCCAAGAUGGAGGCGACCUAGAGGCUUGGAUUCUCCGGGUCGUUUUAUAACUAGGCCAGUGGAGCGAAGACGUCGGAGAUGGGCAGCAGGCCCCGCUGGAACGUGGGGAGUGCGGGGAUUCUUUCUACCCUCGAAGCCUGUGGCCAGGUCCUGCACAUAAUGAGUCCGCAGCUCAAAGCCACAUGCAGUCCCAGGCGUAAAAAAGCUUUUUACACGGGCGAUCGCGCUGUUUUUUGAAAGCCGCUCUCGACUUUCCUGGGUGAGGUUCUAGCGGAGCGGAUCGGAAAUCUGUUCUGAUGGCUUAGCCCGACCUUGGAGGCAGGAUUGGCAAGCCUGAGUUCCUGCCCCUCUUUUAACUACUUGCAUUUUCCCAGCUGGGCGCCACUUAGAGGAAGAGUAAUCAUUCACUCAAGCCUCAGAGAAGUUGCCCCAUCCACUUCUCCUUCACUAUCACAUCGCCCUGUUUCCUUUAUAGAUCUCAGCACUCUCUCAAUAGGUGUUUUUUGUUUGUUUGUUUUUGUUUUUGAGACAGAGUCUCGCUUUGUUGCCCAGACUAGAGUGAGUGCCGUGGCGUCAGCCUAGCUCAAUAGGUUUUCUUUACUGCCUUUCCCAAUGGUGUAUCCCCUGUUGAUAGAACCUUUAUGCACAGCUAUACUUUCAGCGCCUAGAACAGUGCCUGGCACACCAUCCAGUAAAUAUUCCUUUAAAUGGAUAGCGAUCUAACGACGCAGCCACUAUCGCAUCUUGUGGCGCACUCUCCAGUUUCCAUUCUUUGGAUUCAGUGCCAUCUCCCUAUGCAAGCCAGUCUUGUGUUUUAUUGCUGGCUGCCCGAGACUAGGCACGGUGCUGGGCGAUGGGAUCCAAUGAUGCACAAGAAAGAGAGGGCUUCUGCCCUUAGGGAGUGAUAAUAAAACUCCAGGGACUCCUAUGUCACCAUGCUAGCCCACAGUCUACAUAGUUUAUACCCCACUCACUGGCUUGGUCAACUCACACAAGACCACCCAGAUGAGGUCUGGGUACAGAAGGACUGAAACUGCCUCUUGCUACUGAUAUAUGAAAAUUCAAGACAUGCUGGGCUCCUGUGCUAUGUAAAUACUUUCAUAAUUUAAGGUUUAAUGCUUGGGGUCACCUACCAGUCGAAAAAGAUACUGAGCCAUCUGAUAUAUGUUAUUGGAGAAACCUUUCCUGAUGCACAGGAUGUGCCAAUUUGAGGAGGAAAACAUCACAAGUUCUCUUCAUGAGCUAUCUGGCUCAUGCCACGUCCAGGCACAUGAAUUUAGGAGAAAUCUGGUUGUCUGCAGGAGGUGGUGAAUGAAGUAAAGUGAAUAUGCUGAUUCCAUUCUGUUCACAUGCGGGUUGGAAUGUGGUCCUGAAGACACUCAAGGCACUUAAGUGGGAUCUAUUCCUGAGAAGCCCGGGUGACUUUGGGCACACAGGGUGACGGAGCAUCUUUGCUUGCCGUGAAUGUGAUAUUAACAUUGUGUGCUGUAUUUCUAUCAAGCUAGGUUUCCAUUAAGAUUUUCUUUUUCAUGUUACAAGGACUGUAAAUCAAUAAACAGACAUCGUAAUGAC